CUAUCCUGGCACUUGCUCUGGAGACCAGGCUGGCCUCGAACUCACAGAGAUCCUCCUGCCUCUGCCUCCUGAGUGCUGGGAUUAAAGGCGUGCACCACCCACGCCUGGCACUUCUAUUCUUUCCCUGCUACCAGGCAGCUGUCGUACUUGGGCCAGCCCUUCCUGGAAGCCUUUAUUCAAACCCCACUCCCUUCUUGCACUGGAAUGGACACUCCAAUACCCCUCAGGGACUACCUGCCCUACAGUAUGCACUCAGCCCUGCAGAACUCUCCAGUCUUCCUGGGAGUACACACCUGCCAUCCUUUCAGUACUUACGACAAUCCUUCAUGCAUGAAAGUCCUGUCCUUUGUAGGGGUGGGGCACAUGUGAGAAUUCCAGGCUUGUCCCUGCCUUGGCACAGAGGAGGGGUCCUCCUCUCUCCUACUUGCAGCCCUCUUUGGGGGGGAAUAUGCCACACUAGCCAUAUAGUGGGCCCUGUGCUAUAGCGGGGGCUUGGCUGGGCCUGGGUCUUCCCUUCUGUCCUAUUAAGCCAUGGGUACUUCCACAGCUUAUAACUGCUGUGAGCUAGAGUUGAAUUUACAUAUCUGGAAUUAGUAGAGGGUUUCUUUUUUAUCCCCUACCCCCAAAUCAUUAUCUUGUUUCAAAUUUUUGUGUUGAAGGCUGAUAUUUGAAUAAGGAACAAGGAAGCUAUUCUGCACCAGAUAACCCCAAACCACAAUUGGGCAAAGUGGAACAUCCUCCUUGCUGGAAGCUGGAUGUAUGUAAAGAAUGCAUUUAUUGUUUCUCUAUUAAAUUAUUUUCCAUACUUA